AUGGAGACUUCUGAAGUUCUAAUGUGGCUGCUGAUGCUCUGGGCCCCAGGAUCCAGUGGGGAUAUCGUGAUGACACAGACCCCACUCUCACUGUCGGCUACUCCUGGAAAGCCGGUUUCCAUCUCCUGCAGGGCCAGUCAGAGCCUCCUGCACAGUAAUGGAAUGAACUAUUUGUAUUGGUACCUGCAGAAGCCAGGCCAGUCUCUACAGAGCCUGAUCUACUUGGCCUCCAGCCGUUACCCUGGGGUUCCAGACAGGUUCAGUGGCAGGGGGUCAGGGACAGAUUUCACCCUGACUAUCAGCAGUGUGGAGGCUGAGGAUGUGGGAGUUUAUUACUGCCUGCAAAGUUUAGAAUUUCCUCCCACAGUGGUUCAGCCCCGAACACAAGCCUCCCUUUCAUCUUAG